AGCGAACGCUGGCGGCAGGCCUAACACAUGCAAGUCGAACGAACCUUUCGGGGUUAGUGGCGGACGGGUGAGUAACACGUGGGAACGUGCCUUUAGGUUCGGAAUAACUCAGGGAAACUUGUGCUAAUACCGAAUGUGCCCUUCGGGGGCAAGAUUUAUCGCCUCUAGAGCGGCCCGCGUCUGAUUAGCUAGUUGGUUGAGGUAAUGGCUCACCAAGGCGACGAUCAGUCGCUGGUGUGAGAGGCUGAUCAGCCACAUUGGGACUGAGACACGGCCCAAACUCCUACGGGAUGCAGCAGUGGGGAAUCUUGCGCAAUGGGCGAAAGCCUGACGCAGCCAUGCCUCGUGAAUGAUGAAGGUCUUAGGAUUGUAAAAUUCUUUCACCGGGGACGAUAAUGACGGUACCCGGAGAAUAAGCCCCGGCUAACUUCGUG
rnacentral:rRNA from 1 species